rnacentral:misc_RNA from 1 species
UUUCCGUAGGUGAACCUGCGGAAGGAUCAUUCAUAAUAAGUGUUUUAUGGCACUUUUUAAAUCCAUAUCCACCUUGUGUGCAAUGUCGGUCGGUCUUCUUUAUGGAGAUUGAUCAAACAUCAACCUAAUUUUUAACUCUUUGUCUGAAAAAUAUUAUGAAUAAAUAAUUCAAAUACAACUUUCAACAACGGAUCUCUUGGCUCUC